rnacentral:rRNA from 1 species
UACGUAGGGCGCAAGCGUUAUCCGGAAUUAUUGGCGUAAAGGAGCUACGUAGGCGGUUUGUCGCGUCUGCCGUGAAAGUCCGGGGCUCAACUCCGGAUCUGCGGUGGGUACGGGCAGACUAGAGUGAUGUAGGGGGAGACGUGGAAUUCCAUGGUGUAGCGGUGAAAUGCGCAGGAUAAUCAGGAGGAACACCGAUGGCGA